rnacentral:rRNA from 1 species
UACGUAGGCAGCGAGCGUUGUUCGGAGUUCCUGGGCGUAAAGGGUGCGUAGGUGGCCAGGAAAGUCUGAUGUGAAAUCUCCGAGCUCAACUCGGAAAUGGCAUUGGAAACUAUCUGGCUAGAGGGUCGGAGGGGGGUGGAAUUCCCAGUGUAGCGGUGAAAUGCGUAGAUAUUGGGAGGAACACCGGUGGCGAAGGCGGCCCCCUGGACCGGUACUGACGCUGAGGCGCGAAAGCGUGGGUAGCAAACGGG